rnacentral:lncRNA from 1 species
CACCACCACCCAGCAUCUCUACUCCCUUUUCAUCCUCUUCCCUUGCCAACAACAACCUUCUCCUUUAUUUCUCACCGGAAAAUCGAAGUAAAGUGGAGAAGAAAACGUUCCUCCUCACUGCCGGUGCUAGACCAGCACCAGCCAGCAUUUUCUGGCCAAACUGACCUCGAAAUCACCUUCCCCACCCUCCAAAAUCUUAGAACAGCCCUCCUCGCCAUCGAACAGUCUCGUCCAGCUUAUCCAAGCCACACCGGAGCAAAGUUUUGUCCAUUUGAAUCUGGCAUUUUCCUAUGAGAAUUAGGCUGCAAUUUUUUUGUAUUUGGAGUCCACGCAUCUCAAGCUUCGCAUAGGCUCCUUCGGAUUCGAAUUCCGAC